rnacentral:rRNA from 1 species
AGGACGAACGCUGGCGGCGUGCUUAACACAUGCAAGUCGAACGAGGUGCUUCGGCACUUAGUGGCGAACGGGUGAGUAACACGUGAGCAACCUGCCCUUGGCUCUGGGAUAGCCUCCGGAAACGGGGAUUAAUACCGGACAUGACCUGCUCCUGCAUGGGGGCGGGUGGAAAGUUUUCGGCCAGGGAGGGGCUCGCGGCCUAUCAGCUUGUUGGGGGGGUAACGCCCACCAAGGCGACGACGGGUAGCCGGCCUGAGAGGGCGACCGGCCACACUGGGACUGAGACACGGCCCAGACUCCUACGGGAGGCAGCAGUGGGGAAUAUGCACAAUGGGGGAAACCCUGAUGCAGCGACGCCGCGUGCGGGAUGAAGGCCUUCGGGUUGUAAACCGCUUUCAGCAGGGGCGAAUUCAGACGGUACCUGCAGAGAAGCGCCGGCUAACUACGUGCCAGCAGCCGC